rnacentral:tRNA from 1 species
GCCGGCGUAGCUCAGCGGUAGAGCUGCUGAAUCGUAAUCAGCGGGUCGGGGGUUCAAAUCCCUCCGCCGGCUCCA